ACCAGCAGGAUUUUACAAAGUGAACUCAUCACAGCUUGAGCAACUCCAUGCCACAAGCAGUUGCUCCUCGAGCCACCGUGCAAAGGUUCCUUGGGGCACAAGUCCAACUCAGCGCCACAACCUUUCUUCUGCAGUUUUUCUACCUACUUAGCUAACCAGCAGCAAGUUUAUCCUUGCAAGGCAUGUGGGAACAGCUUUCACCAGGAAAUGUGCAAGACGAGUGGUCGAAGAAAAUAAAAUUGCUUCUGUGAUCUAAAGUACUUGACGAAUAAAAUUUUGCACUUAUUUGUA